rnacentral:rRNA from 1 species
CGUUGGGGGACGCUACCUGCAGUCGAGCGGAUGAAAGGAGCUUGCUCCUGGAUUCAGCGGCGGACGGGUGAGUAAUGCCUAGGAAUCUGCCUGGUAGUGGGGGACAACGUUUCGAAAGGAACGCUAAUACCGCAUACGUCCUACGGGAGAAAGCAGGGGACCUUCGGGCCUUGCGCUAUCAGAUGAGCCUAGGUCGGAUUAGCUAGUUGGUGAGGUAAUGGCUCACCAAGGCGACGAUCCGUAACUGGUCUGAGAGGAUGAUCAGUCACACUGGAACUGAGACACGGUCCAGACUCCUACGGGAGGCAGCAGUGGGGAAUAUUGGACAAUGGGCGAAAGCCUGAUCCAGCCAUGCCGCGUGUGUGAAGAAGGUCUUCGGAUUGUAAAGCACUUUAAGUUGGGAGGAAGGGUUGUAGAUUAAUACUCUGCAAUUUUGACGUUACCGACAGAAUAAGCACCGGCUAACUCUGUGCCAGCAGCCGCGGUAAUACAGAGGGUGCAAGCGUUAAUCGGAAUUACUGGGCGUAAAGCGCGCGUAGGUGGUUUGUUAAGUUGGAUGUGAAAUCCCCGGGCUCAACCUGGGAACUGCAUCCAAAACUGGCAAGCUAGAGUAUGGUAGAGGGUGGUGGAAUUUCCUGUGUAGCGGUGAAAUGCGUAGAUAUAGGAAGGAACACCAGUGGCGAAGGCGACCACCUGGACUGAUACUGACACUGAGGUGCGAAAGCGUGGGGAGCAAACAGGAUUAGAUACCCUGGUAGUCCACGCCGUAAACGAUGUCAACUAGCCGUUGGGAGCCUUGAGCUCUUAGUGGCGCAGCUAACGCAUUAAGUUGACCGCCUGGGGAGUACGGCCGCAAGGUUAAAACUCAAAUGAAUUGACGGGGGCCCGCACAAGCG